GCGGCUGACACCAGUCCGGGCGAGACGGCGCUGCGCUGACCCUGAAGUGCGCUCACCGCUCACCAUGCACAGCCAGGACCAGCUAGUGGAACAGAUUGCCGAGCUGCAGACGGCGGUGGGGGAGAUGAAGACGUCCUUCGCCUCAGCCAUGCGGUGGCUGACGGAGUCUUCGCACGCAGCGGCCGGUCCAGAUACCUUCGGGCCUGCUGGAGUUGGCUGCCCUGAUGAUGAUGACGUCAUCCACACCAUCCGAGGAC